CCUAAGUCGGGACAUUCUGGUCCGGCUGGGAAACCACCCGGGUAAAAGGGAACACGGUGAGGUGUAGCCAACAGGCGCUGAAUCCGUGACUGCCCCCGCAACUGUGAGCGGAGAGCAAUGCUGCGGAAUGCCACUGCCCCAAGGGGCGGGAAGGCGCGGCAAAGCUUCGACCCGCGAGUCAGGAGACCUGCCAGGAUGAUCACCCUAUC
rnacentral:ncRNA from 2 species